GAUUAAGCAAAGAAGAGCGCAGGGUGGAUGCCUUGGCACUAAGAGCCGAAGAAAGACGUGAUAAGCUGCGAAAAGCUGCGGGGAGAUGCAAAUAAUCCUUGAUCCGCAGAUGUCUGAAUGGGGAAACCCGGUACGAAGAACUCGUAUCAUCCAUACGCCAAUCCAUAACGUAUGGAGGGGAACCCGGUGAACUGAAACAUCUAAGUAGCCGGAGGAAGAGAAAGAAACAUCGAUUUUGUUAGUAGCGGCGAGCGAAAGCGAAAGAGGCCAAACCGGAGUGCGUGCACUCCGGGGUUCGGACCGCAUUUAAGAUUCAGUAAUCCUAGCAGAAAGGUUUGGGAAAGCCUGCCGGAGAGGGUGAAAGCCCCGUAAGCGAAAGGAGAGCUGACUGAGCGGAAUCCAGAGUACAUCGAGACACGAGAAACCUUGAUGGAAUGAGCGGGGACCACCCCGUAAGCCUAAAUACUACUUAGUGACCGAUAGCGCAUAGUACUGUGAAGGAAAGGUGAAAAGGACCCCGGGAGGGGAGUGAAAGAGAACCUGAAACCCUGUGUUUACAAGCUGUGGAAGUUCUUUAAAUGAACAACCGCGUACUUUUUGUAGAACGGUCCGGCGAGUUGCGGAUACUGGCAAGGUUAAGCACUUAAGGUGCGGAGCCGAAGGGAUACCAAGUCUUAACAGGGCGUUAAGUCAGUAUACGCAGACCCGAAACCGGGUGAUCUAUCCAUGUCCAGGUUGAAGUUGUCGUAAAAGACAAUGGAGGACCGAAGCCACAUCCGUUGAAAAGGGUGGGCAUGAGGUGUGGAUAGGGGAGAAAUUCCAAUCGAACCCGGAGAUAGCUGGUUCUCCUCGAAAUAGCUUUAGGGCUAGCCUCGAUUUAGUCUUAUGGAGGUAGAGCACUGAAUUUCCGCGGGGGCGUCAAAGCUUACCAAAGAAUAUCAAACUCCGAAUGCCAUGUAGAUGAUGAUCGGGAGUCAGACUGCACGAGAUAAGUUGGGCAGUCAAAAGGGAAAGAGCCCAGACCACCGGCUAAGGUCCCAAAGUGCGUGUUAAGUGGAAAAGGAUGUGGGAAUUCGAAGACAACUAGGAUGUUGGCUCAGAAGCAGCCAUACAUUCAAAGAGUGCGUAACAGCUCACUAGUCGAGAGUUCCUGCGCCGAAAAUGUCCGGGGCUGAAACACGACACCGAAGCCGUGGACUCGCAAUGCGAGUGGUAGAGGAGCAUUCUUAAAACCGACGAAGCUGUACCGUAAAGAGCAGUGGAGGGAUAAGAAGAGAGAAUGCCGGAAUGAGUAGCGAGAGAAAGGUGGGAAUCCUUUCGGCCGAAUAUCUAAGGUUUCCAGAGUAAAGCUGAUCUGCUCUGGGUAAGUCGGGGCCUAAGCACAGGUCGCAAGACGUAAGCGAUGGAUAACAGGUUUAGAUUCCUGUACCACGCAUUAUCAGAACUGUAGGGACGCAUGUGGAAAGCACGGGCCGGGAAUGGAAAAACCGGUACAAGCGGGGUAGGUGUACAACAGGCAAAUCCGUUGUAUAAUCCGAAGACGUGAUGUGGAGCGAAAUAAAGUAGCAAAGCGUGUGAGCCAUGUGCCGAGAAAAGCUGCUAUUGUGUAAUGCGUGCCCGUACCGUAAACCGACACAGGUGGAUGAGGAGAGAAUCCUAAGGCCGGCGGAAGAAGCAUUGUUAAGGAAUUCGGCAAAAUGACCCCGUAACUUCGGGAGAAGGGGUGCCUGCGAGAGCAGGCCGCAGAGAAUAGGCUCAAGCAACUGUUUAGCAAAAACACAGGUCUAUGCGAAACCGAAAGGUGAAGUAUAUGGGCUGACGCCUGCCCGGUGCUGGAAGGUUAAGAGGAGAGGUUAGCUUCGGCGAAGCUUUGAAUUUAAGCCCCAGUAAACGGCGGCCGUAACUAUAACGGUCCUAAGGUAGCGAAAUUCCUUGUCGGGUAAGUUCCGACCCGC
rnacentral:rRNA from 1 species